AGAGUUUGAUCAUGGCUCAGAACGAACGCUGGCGGCAGGCUUAACACAUGCAAGUCGAACGGGCCCUUCGGGGUCAGUGGCAGACGGGUGAGUAACGCGUGGGAACGUGCCCUUCAGUUCGGAAUAACCCAGGGAAACUUGGGCUAAGACCGGAUACGUCCGUAAGGAGAAAGAUUUAUCGCUGAAGGAUCGGCCCGCGUCUGAUUAGCUGGUUGGUGGGGUAAUGGCCCACCAAGGCGACGAUCAGUAGCUGGUCUGAGAGGAUGAUCAGCCACAUUGGGACUGAGACACGGCCCAAACUCCUACGGGAGGCAGCAGUGGGGAAUAUUGGACAAUGGGCGCAAGCCUGAUCCAGCCAUGCCGCGUGAGUGAUGAAGGCCUUAGGGUUGUAAAGCUCUUUCGGCGGGGACGAUAAUGACGGUACCCGCAGAAGAAGCCCCGGCUAACUUCGUGCUAGCCGCCGCGGUAAUAAC
rnacentral:rRNA from 1 species